GAUGAAGAACGCAGCGAAAUGCCAUAAGUAGUGUGAAUUGCAGAAUUCAGUGAAUCAUCGAAUCUUUGAACGCACAUUGCGCCUCCUGGUAUUCCGGGAGGCAUGCCUGUUCGAGCGUCAUCAAAAACCUCAACCCAUGAUUUAUUGUGAGUUGGUUCUGCAUUGGACUCCUUGUGGGUCCUUUGCGAAAUCCAAUGGCGAAGAGCCACGCAACCAAAGCGUAGUAUAACUAUUUCGUUAUGGAAGCGUGGGUGCCUCUGCCGUAACCCCCAAUUUCUUAGUUUUUGACCUCGGAUCAGGUAGGGAUACCCGCUGAACUUAAGCAUAUCAAUAAGCGGAGGA
rnacentral:misc_RNA from 1 species